GAUGAACGCUGGCGGCGUGCCUAACACAUGCAGGUCGAACGGAGUCCAGCCUUUAAGACCUUCGGGUCAAAGAGGGGAAGACUGAGUGGCGGACGGGUGAGUAACACGUGGGCAACCUGGCUCAUAGAGGGGGAUAACAGAGAGAAAUUUCUGCUAAUACCGCAUAAGCACACACUGCCGCAUGGCAGAGGGUGAAAAGAGAAUCGCUAUGAGAUGGACCCGCGUCUGAUUAGCCAGUUGGCAGGGUAAGAGCCUACCAAAGCGACGAUCAGUAGCCGAUCUGAGAGGAUGAACGGCCACAUUGGGACUGAGACACGGCCCAAACUCCUACGGGAGGCAGCAGUGGGGGAUAUUGCACAAUGGGGGGAACCCUGAUGCAGCGACACCGCGUGAGUGAAGAAGUAUUUCGGUAUGUAAAGCUCUAUCAGCAGGGAAGAUAAUGACAGUGCCUGAAGAAGAAGCCCCGGCUAACUACGUG
rnacentral:rRNA from 1 species